CUUGGGUGAGUAGUUGAGUUUUCCGUGGUAGUCAGCAGAGAGAGUUGACCUCUGGAGGCCAUUUUAGAGCACUUAAAUUCAUCAUUGUUGUUUACUUAUGGAGCUUGGAUUCCUGAGAGAAGGCACAUAAAUCAGACCAACACCCAGCCCAUUACUGAGCAGCAAUUAGCAGGACCUGACCAACUUGCUCCAGUUUAUGGACUGAAAACAACAUUCUAUGGUUCUUUUCCCAGUUUGGAUCAGCCUGUGCACCUGCUCGCUGGCAGAGUGUGAGACACUGGAAAGUCCUUGACUCAGGAGCUAUUUCUGCUUUGUCACUUUUCCACAUCGUUUGUCUGUGCAGCUUCUAGGGCUCCCUC